rnacentral:rRNA from 1 species
CCUACGGGUGGCUGCAGUGGGGAAUUUUGGACAAUGGGCGCAAGCCUGAUCCAGCCAUUCCGCGUGCAGGAUGAAGGCCUUCGGGUUGUAAACUGCUUUUGUACAGAACGAAAAGGCUCUGGUUAAUACCUGGGGCUCAUGACGGUACUGUAAGAAUAAGCACCGGCUAACUACGUGCCAGCAGCCGCGGUAAUACGUAGGGUGCGAGCGUUAAUCGGAAUUACUGGGCGUAAAGCGUGCGCAGGCGGUGAUGUAAGACAGAGGUGAAAUCCCCG